UUUGUUUCCCGGGGGGCUUAAGCAUAUCAAUAAGCGGAGGAAAAGAAACCAACAGGGAUUGCCCUAGUAACGGCGAGUGAAGCGGCAACAGCUCAAAUUUGAAAUCUGGCGUCUUCGGCGUCCGAGUUGUAAUUUGCAGAGGGCGCUUUGGCAUUGGCAGCGGUCCAAGUUCCUUGGAACAGGACGUCACAGAGGGUGAGAAUCCCGUACGUGGUCGCUAGCCUUUACCGUGUAAAGCCCCUUCGACGAGUCGAGUUGUUUGGGAAUGCAGCUCUAAAUGGGAGGUAAAUUUCUUCUAAAGCUAAAUACUGGCCAGAGACCGAUAGCGCACAAGUAGAGUGAUCGAAAGAUGAAAAGCACUUUGGAAAGAGAGUUAAAAAGCACGUGAAAUUGUUGAAAGGGAAGCGCUUGCAGCCAGACUUGCCUGUAGUUGCUCAUCCGGGUUUCUACCCGGUGCACUCUUCUAUAGGCAGGCCAGCAUCAGUUUGGGCGGUUGGAUAAAGGUCUCUGUCAUGUACCUCCUUUCGGGGAGAUCUUAUAGGGGAGACGACAUGCAACCAGCCUGGACUGAGGUCCGCGCAUCUGCUAGGAUGCUGGCGUAAUGGCUGUAAGCGGCCCGUCUUGAAACACGGACCAAGGAGUCUAACAUCUAUGCGAGUGUUUGGGUGUCAAGCCCGAACGCGUAAUGAAAGUGAACGGAGGUGGGAACCUUUCGGGGUGCACCAUCGACCGAUCCUGAUGUCUUCGGAUGGAUUUGAGUAAGAGCAUAGCUGUUGGGACCCGAAAGAUGGUGAACUAUGCUUGAAUAGGGUGAAGCCAGAGGAAACUCUGGUGGAGGCUCGCAGCGGUUCUGACGUGCAAAUCGAUCGUCAAAUUUGGGCAUAGGGGCGAAAGACUAAUCGAACUAUCUAGUAGCUGGUUCCUGCCGAAGUCCCCUCAGGAAUAAUA
rnacentral:rRNA from 1 species